UACGAAGGGGGCUAGCGUUGCUCGGAAUUACUGGGCGUAAAGGGCGCGUAGGCGGAUAUCUAAGUUGGGGGUGAAAUCCCGGGGCUCAACCUCGGAAUUGCCUUCAAAACUGGAUAUCUUGAGUUCGGGAGAGGUGAGUGGAACUCCGAGUGUAGAGGUGAAAUUCGUAGAGAUCUGGAAGAACACCAAAGGCGAAGGCAGCAUCCUGGGAAGUUCCUGACGCUCGGGUGCGAAAGCCAGGGGAGCGAACGGG
rnacentral:rRNA from 1 species